CAGGAAUAACAUGUACUGAUCGCCUCUACACGACCCAUCAAGGUGUUGCAUGUUCUGAAUGAAGCACCAACACGUGUGAUCGGAGCCUGGACCCAAUCAGCUGAUCUGUGUUGUUAUGUAAGGUUAAAGGGAGCCGAACCGAGCAGCCGCUAUCGGCGCCGACACUCACUCGUCUCCCGGAGUUGUUCUUCUUCAUGCUGCCGGCGCGAACCCCUCUUCUCCGGAGCCUCCUCUCCUCGGCUCUGGAUCCACUGCUGCGCCGCUCGCUCCGCUACUCGGUGCUGCUGCCGCCGGGAUCCUCUGCGCUCUGAGCGGCCGGGAGCCGCUGCGUGGGUCGGUGUCCGGUUACACCUCCCCCUCCCCCGGACUCCCUGCUGGCUCAGCGGCUCCUCGGCAGCCUCGCGGCGCCCCCCGGCGGUGGAGCUCUGCUUCUUCCAGCUUCUGACCUCAUCUGGAUCAUUGUGCUCUGGACGUUGGCAGAUGUUCUGAGGCUAAAAUCUGAUCUGGACUCACUUUCACUUUGAUCACAGGAAACUGGGUCAGACACUGGCCGAGACAGAAGCUGAUCUGGGGAUUAACCACCGAGCAGAGAACACAUGCUUUUAGGUCUGAGGUUCACAGGAAGAGAAGAGCUUUGUUUUUGUUUGUGGACGUGUAAAUAUAGUUUGAGCAAAAGACGCAGGACACGAUGAGGACGUUAUUAUCUGUAUCCUGACUCAGUUUUCCUUGAGCCUGUCUGACCUUUGACCUCCACAGCAGCUGAGUAAAGCAGCUAAUUGACAGUGUGACUGUCAACCCACUGAUCCAGCACUUUGAUGCUGAGUUGACUGUUUCCACAGAAAAAAAACAUCCAGUGUGUCACACAGCCAAUGAUUCUGCCAUUCAACUUAGUACCAAGGAGCACCAUAAUCAGAUUUAUUACCUUCUAGUUUAUUUAUUGUUAUGUCAUGUUGUUUUUCAGUUUCUUUCGUUUUGUUCUCUUAUUUCACACAGACGCUUGAAGACCUGUUCUGGUUUUUCCACACGGACCUUCCCUCCAGCAUCAGCAUCGACCGAGACCAGAACCAUUUGAGAAGUGAUUCAGUCCAUGAUAUGCAGUCAGGUGCCGGUAUGUGAGGGAGUUCGUUCCCGCCUGUGAUGGACAGGAGGCGGGUCCAGGUGAACCCACUUCCUGCCUGACUCACAGCAUG